UAAUAGCGUAUAUUAUUGAUGUUGCAGUUGAAACGUUCGUAGUCGAACUUUAUGUGCUUGGAUACUAUAACAUCUUUGAUGUGAUAGUGUUUUCAGCACAGAUCAUGCAAACCAACACCAUAUGUUUCAUAUGGUUGUUUGAUUUGCAUCUUACUUUGAGUGAAUCGGCGUGUUCCACGCAGGCAUGUGCCUUGAACGAUUUACCAUAGCAUAAAUAGAGUAUGGAAGUAUUUGUAUUCAACUGCUAGAGGUGAAAUUCUUUGAUUAGUUGAGGACGAACUAUUGCGAAAGCAUCUGCCAUGGACGUUUCUUUUGA
rnacentral:rRNA from 1 species